ACCGAUUUCACGCGGACGACGUUACACACUCUUCCCUUCCAUCCAUCCUUGUUGCCCCCACUUUGGGUCACAAGUCAGCGUGACUUGACUCGGCAAUGGAGUCUCGUAGAACUGAUUAUAUAAAUUGCACCACCGAAGUAUAAUUUGUCGAUGUGGGACAAAUUUGCGCGGCCUGGCAAGUUUCUUUGUUUUUGGUUUUUCUUUUUUUCCACUUGAAAAAGAGUAAGUGGGUUUGUUGUCCAGAGAUUAAGGUACGGGCUCCAUUUGCUCCUGUGGCUAUUUCUCUGGAACAUGUUGCACAGCUCAUAGAGAAGUGGAUAUCCUACCUGAGGUGCAUAUAAUGAACAUGGAAGUUUGCUGCACUAGUUGGCUAUCAAGGUGCCAUCUUCUAGAACUUUGCUGCUGUAGGGGUUGGUAAAGUCAUGAAGUUACUGUUUUACCCUCACUUUGGUCUAGGGUGAUAAAAAAUUGCUCCAUGUUUGUUCAGUAUAACCUAAUUUUUUGUUUUUCUACGGGUGGUUUUAUUUUCUUUUAGUUUCCUGCUGAAAAAUGAGGUAUAGGUUUGUAUUUGUUGUAGAGUGUGGCUUAUGUAGGAAUAUAACCAAGUUAGUGAUGCUUGAAUAUGUUGUUUUGAGCCAAUUCAAUGCGGAGCUUUUUCUUUGCUUCAAUGUGGGCAGUUUUGCCGCGCUCCACGGAGACAUGGUUCUGCCGUGCAUAUUUGUCUACAUUUACACUGCUGUAUACCACUCUCUUGUUAUAAUAUUGUUGUAUGAAGUGAAUUUUCGUUUUUGAUGUAGGGACAUUUAUUCCUCAGUCAUAAGUUUUACUUGGUUAACAUUGUAAGUUGAAGUUAUCUGUUUGACUAUGAGAAUCCCCUUGUAAUUUUGGGUGGAUAAAAUUGAACAUUCAACAUCUAUAGUAGCUUUCUGGUCAUGCAAUGACAAUAAAAAUGCGCUUUCGUGAACAAAGAAUGAAGUUAUAUAAUUCCUGCCGUCGAUUUCCCAGCUUCUAAAGUCAGAUUAUUUUUGGGUAAAUGGAGCCAUUGGAGAUGUUAGCUCUACCAGGGCUGUCCAAACAGCAACUGAUAUUCAAAGAACCAAAAUCCAUUCGCAAACUACACAA